rnacentral:tRNA from 1 species
GGUCCUGUAGCUCAGUGGUUAGAGCGAUGGUCUUAUUAGCCAUAGGCCGUGGGUUCGACCCUCGUCGGGACUA